UUGCUUUGGCAGCACAUAUACUAAAACUGGAACAAUACAGAGAAGAUUAGCAUGGCUGCUGUGCAAGGAUGACACACAAAUUUGUGAAGCAUUACAUAUUAAU